CAAAAGAUGCAUAUUACUCCACAAAUUCAUAAUAUAAGAAAAAGCAUCGUAGUAAUGCAUGUAGAUAGAACAUUAAAUGCAAGAAUAUCGAACAAGAAAGAGUUACUGGAUAACAGAUCCAGCUAAAUCAGACUAUUUUUAAUCUUUAAAUGUUAGCAGAUGUCAAGCGGAGCAUAAGCACUGCCUACUUACUAUCACAUCGAACAGACAAUUGGCUCUGGCCCUAUGUUAAUGUUAAUUACACACAAAGACAGUUGUCUGGGGAGAAUGAACCAGCUCACAGUACCAUACAAUUUACACAAAAUAGCUAUGUUACAUGGACUCGGGUCGAGAAUUGGGUGUUGGUAUUGUCUAGGUGUCAGACUUGUCUAUUUCUAAAAUAUACUGGGAUAAGACAUAAAAUGAUCAAAAUUUUAGAUAGACAUGACAAGUAAUAUUGUUUAAAGUUAAUGUUCUACAAGAUUUUUUGAAAUAAUCUCAAAAUUUUGUUCUGGAAUAUUGAAUAUAAAAAGAUAAUUAGUGGGGUAUAUUUAAGUGAAGAUUUAAAAAAGACGCAUUUACUGAAAAAUUAUUAUGUUUAUGUUUCAAUUUAGAAAUACCAAAAAGUAUAUGGGUGCUUAGUGUUGGACCGACAAGUGAAGGAUCUGACUCGGAUCCCACACUUAAACCCAUGUCCACCCAUGUUGACACAUGUAAAGGAGCAAAAUAGACCAUGAUUAAAUGCAUCAGUAAAUUUCCAAGGAUUUGGAUUAAACAGACCAAGAUUGCCAGCAACCUCGCUCAACCAUCUUCACCUUUGGUUUCCAAACUCAAAGAAACUGAGUACAAAAAUGUGAGGCAUAUUAAUCAUGCGGCAUGAGAGUAAUUAGCUAGUAAUUAGAUGUAACCAGUAAACUGACUAGAAGGCACCAGAAGCCAAAAAUGUCAUUUCUGUAGUAAAGAGGUUUCAGAAAUUAGUAUAAAUUCAGCAAGAAUCAAGUAUCAUAGCUUGUUGAACCAAGCAUAUCCAUCUGUGUUUAGCAGAGUUAGUAACUGAGGCUGCAUCUACAAAAAAAAAAAAAAAAUCAUUCUUGCUCGCAAAUGUUUUUGCAUAUAUUGACAAAUGAACUUGAUGAAAAUUCAAGGUAAAACAUGAAGAUACCGUCGGAUUAUAAAACUAACUGUUCGGGAGCGUUUUACCGACCCUCCUUUGGGCCGAAGGCUUAAUAUCAGAAGGGCUGGAGAGAUCGGGGGGCCAAAGCCUAUGAAGAUAUUGGAGGUGCUUGGGUCGGCAUCUGAGCCCUCCUAGGCCGGAGCUGAACCCGGUCUUGUGAUGGUCGGGGUCGGGUCUUCGAGUUCUUUGGGCCGAAGCCCAGACUAGAUUAUAGGACCGUUUGGGCCUGCACAGUGGGCUCUCCUGCGUGCAGAGUCCGGGUACCUAUUCAUAUGCAUAUAAGGUAACUCCAAAGGUGGUGAUGAGAUUGGACUCUACUUGCACCUUUUAAGGAGAUUGUGUUGGACCCAAGUUAUGGUAACUACCAUACACUAGGAGUCCUAAUCCGACUAGGAGAAGGAUUCUAAGGUGGUGAGUACUAUAAAUAUAAGGCCUANNNNNNNNNNNNNNNNNNNNNNNNNNNNNNNNNNNNNNNNNNNNNNNNNNNNNNNNNNNNNNNNNNNNNNNNNNNNNNNNNNNNNNNNNNNNNNNNNNNNNNNNNCCAUACAAUUUACACAAAAUAGCUAUGUUACAUGGACUCGGGUCGAGAAUUGGGUGUUGGUAUUGUCUAGGUGUCAGACUUGUCUAUUUCUAAAAUAUACUGGGAUAAGACAUAAAAUGAUCAAAAUUUUAGAUAGACAUGACAAGUAAUAUUGUUUAAAGUUAAUGUUCUACAAGAUUUUUUGAAAUAAUCUCAAAAUUUUGUUCUGGAAUAUUGAAUAUAAAAAGAUAAUUAGUGGGGUAUAUUUAAGUGAAGAUUUAAAAAAGACGCAUUUACUGAAAAAUUAUUAUGUUUAUGUUUCAAUUUAGAAAUACCAAAAAGUAUAUGGGUGCUUAGUGUUGGACCGACAAGUGAAGGAUCUGACUCGGAUCCCACACUUAAACCCAUGUCCACCCAUGUUGACACAUGUAAAGGAGCAAAAUAGACCAUGAUUAAAUGCAUCAGUAAAUUUCCAAGGAUUUGGAUUAAACAGACCAAGAUUGCCAGCAACCUCGCUCAACCAUCUUCACCUUUGGUUUCCAAACUCAAAGAAACUGAGUACAAAAAUGUGAGGCAUAUUAAUCAUGCGGCAUGAGAGUAAUUAGCUAGUAAUUAGAUGUAACCAGUAAACUGACUAGAAGGCACCAGAAGCCAAAAAUGUCAUUUCUGUAGUAAAGAGGUUUCAGAAAUUAGUAUAAAUUCAGCAAGAAUCAAGUAUCAUAGCUUGUUGAACCAAGCAUAUCCAUCUGUGUUUAGCAGAGUUAGUAACUGAGGCUGCAUCUACAAAAAAAAAUAAAAAAUCAUUCUUACUCGCAAAUGUUUUUGCAUAUAUUGACAAAUGAACUUGAUGAAAAUUCAAGGUAAAACAUGAAGAUACCGUCGGAUUAUAAAACUAACUAACUGUGGUUAUAUAAAG
rnacentral:lncRNA from 1 species